GACUGGUCAGAGGGCAGUGAUAUUUACAACUAAUUGAUUAUAACCAGUUACAGAUUCCUUUGUUCCUUCUCCUACCCUACUGCUUCACUUAACUAGCCUUAA
rnacentral:Y_RNA from 1 species